AGUGAACGCUGGCGGUAGGCCUAACACAUGCAAGUCGAACGGCAGCACAGUAAGAGCUUGCUCUUACGGGUGGCGAGUGGCGGACGGGUGAGGAAUACAUCGGAAUCUACUUUUUCGUGGGGGAUAACGUAGGGAAACUUACGCUAAUACCGCAUACGACCUACGGGUGAAAGCAGGGGAUCUUCGGACCUUGCGCGAUUGAAUGAGCCGAUGUCGGAUUAGCUAGUUGGCGGGGUAAAGGCCCACCAAGGCGACGAUCCGUAGCUGGUCUGAGAGGAUGAUAAGCCACACUGGAACUGGGACACGGUCAAGACUCCUACGGGAGGCAGCAGUGGGGAAUAUUGGACAAUGGGCGCAAGCCUGAUCCAGCCAUACCGCGUGGGUGAAGAAGGCCUUCGGGUUGUAAAGACCUUUUGUUGGGAAAGAAAAGCAGCAGGUUAAUACCCCGCUGUUCUGACGGUACCCAAAGAAUAAGCACCGGCUAACUUCGUG
rnacentral:rRNA from 1 species